CACGUAGGGGCGAGCGUUGUCCGGAAUUACUGGGCGUAAAGGGCGCGCAGGCUGUUAUGCGAGUCUGCUGUGAAAUGUACCGGCUCAACCGGUGCCUUGCGGCGGAUACUGCAUAGCUGGAGUACUGGAGAGGGAAGUGGAAUUCCCGGUGUAGCGGUGAAAUGCGUAGAUAUCAGGAGGAACACCGGUGGCGAAGGCGGGACUCUGGGCUGUGACUGACACUGAGGAGCGAAAGCAUGGGGAGCGAACAGGAUUA
rnacentral:rRNA from 1 species